CUAACGUUAAACACAUUUUUCUGGUGCUUUCUAUAGGCGGGUGUUUUGUGUGCAGGUGUUGUGUGCCAAACUUGAACGUAGGAUGAGAUGUCAGUAGCAAAUAUUUUCACACAUCCACCAGCAGGCUGCUGCAUUCAUUCAUCCACAGCCACGUGGCAGUGCUUGGCAUCCACGGCAGUCUGUGAAAGCAGGAGGCUGCAGGCGAGGAAGUGGACAGGGAUCCUCUACACCAAAGACCACUUUAUUCCCUCAAUGCAAGCACAAGUGCAUUGAGAUUCACAGCUUAGCGCCAGGAGAGCCUUGUCUUGCUACGCUCAUACAACCCAAGUGGGUUAUCCAGCAAGCUCAAAGCUGUGUGUGUUAUCCUGGGAAGCGUCAGCCAUGGUGGACUGUCCUACAGAUAGAUUGUCAGGGGCAAAAGCAUCCCUUCCUGCAAAGAAGAUGUCAUUGAUUUUUUGAAUUUGCAGCUCCCUCACACACCCCACGGAUGGGCUCAGCCCUGGGGACGUUCUCAUAACUCUGGGGAGGGGGUGAAGAGCUCGCAGGGGUUGUGCCUACCGUCUGUGCCUGUGAGCAAUGGCUGAGCUGUACCUGGGAGAGG
ensembl:lncRNA